UCACACAAGCGGUGGAGCAUGUGGCUUAAUUCGAAGCAACGCGAAGAACCUUAUCCUAGGUUUGACAUACACGGAUUAGCUAUAAGAAACUAUAGUGACACCUUCGGGUGGAACGUGAACAGGUGCUGCAUGGCUGUCGUCAGCUCGUGCUGUGAAGUGUCGGGUUAAGUCCCUUAACGAGCGCAACCCUUAUCGUUAGUUGCUAACAGGUAAUGCUGAGGACUCUAGCGAGACUGCCGGUGUUAAACCGGAGGAAGGUGGGGAUGACGUCAAGUCCGCAUGGCCUUUAUGCCUAGGGCUGCACACGUGCUACAAUGGCAAGUACAGAACGAUGCAAUACCGCGAGGUGGAGCAAAUCGCUAAAGCUUGCCCCAGCUCGGAUUGCAGGCUGCAACUCGCCUGCAUGAAGUUGGAAUCGCUAGUAAUCGCGGAUCAGCAUCCGCGGUG
rnacentral:rRNA from 1 species